UAGCUCAGUUGGUAAAGAAUCUGCCUGCAGUGCAGGAGACCCAGGUUCGAUUCCUGG
rfam:TPA: Bos taurus chromosome 10, whole genome shotgun sequence.